rnacentral:rRNA from 1 species
AGCGCAGGCGGGAAACUAAGCGGAUCUUAAAAGUGCGGGGCUCAACCCCGUGAUGGGGUCCGAACUGGUUUUCUUGAGUGCAGGAGAGGAAAGCGGAAUUCCCAGUGUAGCGGUGAAAUGCGUAGAUAUUGGGAAGAACACCAGUGGCGAAGGCGGCUUUCUGGACUGUAACUGACGCUGAGGCUCGAAAGCUAGGGUAGCGAACA